CUCUUCCUCACCCUCUGUGAUUCAGGAGAAUUUUUUUCUCGAUCAUAAUAAGUCGCUUGUGGAUCAGUAUUAAGUUUUGCUUCCUCUUCUUCUUCAAACAGAUCCAUCACAGAUGAAAUCCUAGAUCUAUAUUUUUGAGAUUUCUCUUAUUCGUAUCAGUAUGAAGAAAUCAGGUCCUUAGAAAGAUUUCUCUAUUUCGCGAGGUACCCGCUAACAUGAAACUGUUUUGGAGGUUUUAGCGAAUGCAGAUGUAGUGAUGUGGGAUGUUGGACUAAGUUCAGAGCUGAAGUGCAUGUAAUUCUGCACUAAUGAAACUGGUAGGAUGACUGUAAGGAAAAUUGUUAAAGAUUUCCCUGCGGCGGCAUCAAGUGAUGUUAAUAAGCCAGAAUUGCUUCCUAAAGAUUUAAGAACAGUUAUUGAUGUUGCUGGUUUCCUUCUGCUGGCCAGGAAAGUGUCUUUCUUAAGCAAGGUUAGUCCUCGUCCAAUCAUAUGGGAGCAAAGAGAAAGCUGUUGUUGAACAUGGGAGUUUUUGAUAGGGUUAUUUGUGGUAGACCACCUAACUUUGAUCUGCCAGAGGAUGAGAAACAAGAACUCAGGCGCUACACUUGGAACGAGUUCUUGACUAUGACUCGCGGAUGGCGCAUUACGACAUGCUUAACUUGAUGAUCUCUUUUCAACUUCGCCAGAAAGCAGGUGUUUAAGAUGGAGCAGGAAGAGUACAACAAGGAAAAAAUUAUUUGGAGCUACAUUAAGUUCACUGACAGCCAAGGUGUCUUGGAUUUGAUAACCUAGAGUCAUAAAUCUAGAGUUAUGACUUUCGACAACCAAAAUUCUUUCAAUAUCUUAGAAUUGAUGACAACAAGUGAUUGUUGGGGAAGUUGCUGAUGUUGCAACUUAUGCAUUUGGGCCAACUAUAGUGGUCACUCCUCUUGCGCACUCAGCAUUAUUAUCAGGCACGAAACAAGUUCAUUCCCAAAGUUAUGUGUAUUCUUUCCUCUUCAGUUUCUGGGCCAAGUGUCAUAUUCUCUUGCAUUACUGCACUUGCAAAACAUAGAAAUAUCUUAUGGAAAAGAAGUCCUUUUCAUUCCUAGUUUUAUUUUUUUGUUCAACAAUUUUUGUAAAGUACAUUGCUUAGCUAAAUUUGGU